UACGAAGGGGGCUAGCGUUGUUCGGAAUUACUGGGCGUAAAGGGUUUGUAGGCGGUUAUACAAGUCAGUGGUGAAAUCCUGGGGCUUAACCUCAGAAUUGCCAAUUGAAACUGUAUAGCUAGAGAAUGUUAGAGGAAAGUGGAAUUCAUAGUGUAGGAGUGAAAUCCGUAGAGAUUAUGAGGAAUAUCGAUGGCGAAGGCAGCUUUCUGGGACAUUUCUGACGCUGAGAAACGAAAAGCGAUGG
rnacentral:rRNA from 1 species